rnacentral:tRNA from 1 species
GCCUGGGUGGCUCAGUGGGUUGAGCAUCCGACUUCAACUCAGGUCACGAUCUCAUGGUUCGUGAGUUCGAGCCCCGUGUCGGGCU